AUGAGCGCUGCACACACACACAGCUAAAAGUCGUCUGCUUUAACGGCAUAAUUACACAGUAUUUUGGAGAUCUGUGUUGCUGAAUCUUUUGCAAUUUGUUUAAUUAAUAUUGGAGAAGUCACAGUAGAAAGAUGGAGUUGGGAAGCGUUAGCCUUUAGCCACACAAACACACGGUGAUUCCUUGUUUAAACUUCCUGGAGGUGAAACUUUCCUAUGGAUCAGAGCGCGAUCAAGCCAACAUGGAUCCUACCAAAUGUCAACCAGCAGGUUUCGGUGAGAAAAUUGUGGUUAAAAAGUCAGUUCUUACCAGAGAAAAGCCGAGCUUGUGCUGUCCAUAGCUGCCGUCGACUCCCCUGAGACACUGCGCGUCAAGACACCCGUAGAGACACCCUUCCAAAUAUCAGGCAGAGUGCAAGCUUUCAAGGGCGAGUUGAAGGUGGAGGAGGAGUUGGGUGUCAAGUAUUGUCAAGAGGUCUUCUGCACCAUUUCCCUCGACGAGCCCAAGGUACAUUUCAACUGUGAGAGACAGAAUGUAUAAACUCAACUCGUCGUGUUUGGAGGAAGAAGAAUACUGAGUUGCAUCCCAAGAACACCACACCUACUGUGAAGCAUGGGGGUGGAAACAUCAUGCUUUGGGGCUGUUUUUCUGCUAAGGGGACAGGACAAUCGAUCCGUGUUAAGGAAAGAAUGAAUGGGGCCAUGUAUCGUGAGAUUUUGAGCCAAAACCUCCUUCCAUCUGUGAGAGCUUUGAAUGGUUGACCAAAUACUUAUU